rnacentral:lncRNA from 1 species
CUUCUCGUGAGAGAGGGAGGUUUGCUUUUAAGCAAACGGUGAGGUUUCCUGUGUUAAAGAUGGACUGGAGAGCUGCAAACACUGCGGCAGUUCCUCGGGGCAAAGAGUUGAUAUAUGUAAAAAACUCCUCUGGGCAAGUUUUUCUCAAAUGUUUAUACUACCAGUGAAUACUGGAGAGGAGAAAGUGAAGCACAGGCACAUAGGGUGCAAGACAUUUGACUUCAGAACCCUUUGAAGGUGUUCCAGGGUGUACUUACGCUAUAAACUGUUAGAGAGAAGGGAAGGAAUUUGGAAAACCCGGAAGCUCUAUUGUCUCUUCAACCACAGGACAAAAUCACAUCAGUCACAUAUCCCACAACUUUUCUUGAGCGCUCUUGCCUACUUAGGAUUUCAGAAAAGGACCCAGGUCAGUGCCACAAAGUAUGCCUUCCUCAGAAAUUUGUCUUCGUCUUGGGACGCUGCUUUCCAGAGCUGUUUCAUGGAGUCACAACUGCACAUUGUUUUAUUACCGCAUACCACAUGCAGCAUUGGAAUGUCACACACAUGCUACAUGAAGGCUAACAGAAACAGACCUUUACUCUUUCCUUUUAUCUGCCAUCUGAGACUCUGAAAGAGCUGCUUAGUAGGCAUUACUUUAAUUUGCAGUUAAGGAUGUGAUCA